UGACGAGCGGCGGACAGGUGAGUAAUGCCUGGGAAUAUACCUUUAGGUGGGGGACAACAGUUGGAAACGACUGCUAAUACCGCAUAAUGUCUACGGACCAAAGGGGGCCUCUAUUUAUAAGCUCUCGCCUUUAGAUUAGCCCAGGUGGGAUUAGCUAGUUGGUGAGGUAAUGGCUCACCAAGGCGACGAUCCCUAGCUGGUUUGAGAGGAUGAUCAGCCACACUGGGACUGAGACACGGCCCAGACUCC
rnacentral:rRNA from 1 species